AACAAGGUCUCCGUUGGUGAACCAGCGGAGGGAUCAUUACUGAGUUUACGCUCUAUAACCCUUUGUGAACAUACCUAUAACUGUUGCUUCGGCGGGUAGGGUCUCCGCGACCCUCCCGGCCUCCCGCCUCCGGGCGGGUCGGCGCCCGCCGGAGGAUAACCAAACUCUGAUUUAACGACGUUUCUUCUGAGUGGUACAAGCAAAUAAUCAAAACUUUUAACAACGGAUCUCUUGGUUCUGGCAUCGAUGAAGAACGCAGCGAAAUGCGAUAAGUAAUGUGAAUUGCAGAAUUCAGUGAAUCAUCGAAUCUUUGAACGCACAUUGCGCCCGCCAGCAUUCUGGCGGGCAUGCCUGUUCGAGCGUCAUUUCAACCCUCAAGCUCUGCUUGGUGUUGGGGCCCUACAGCUGAUGUAGGCCCUCAAAGGUAGUGGCGGACCCUCCCGGAGCCUCCUUUGCGUAGUAACUUUACGUCUCGCACUGGGAUCCGGAGGGACUCUUGCCGUAAAACCCCCCAAUUUUCCAAAGGUUGACCUCGGAUCAGGUAGGAAUACCCGCUGAACUUAAGCAUAUC
rnacentral:ncRNA from 3 species